UUGAAAGGGAAACGAUUGAAGUCAGUCGUACCAGCGGGAAAUCAACCUUUCGAGUGGGGGUUUUGGAGUUUUGAAGAGUUUCAAAACCUUUGAGAUUUCAAAAAUCUCGCUCUUUUGGUGUACUUUCUCGUGGGUAGGUUAACAUCGAUUUUGAUCAUCAUAAAAAGAUUGGAGGAAUGUAGCUUCGAUCUUGUAUUGAAGUGUUAUAGCCUUUGGUAAAUGUGAUGAUUAGGAUCGAGGAUUGCAACGAAUACCCUUUUGGGCUAUCCGCCUGAUCUCUGAUACGUGGCCUUGGUAUCGAAAGCUUGCUUAUGGUAUUAAGGUAUUACGGUCAAAAGGUUAGAACGGAUUACAUUCGUUAAGGAUGUUGACGUA
rnacentral:rRNA from 1 species